CGAGCGGAACGAUCCUAGCUUGCUAGGAGGCGUCGAGCGGCGGACGGGUGAGUAACGCGUGAGAAUCUACCCAUGAGUGGGGGACAACCCGGGGAAACUCGGGCUAAUACCGCAUACGCCCUACGGGGUAAAGCAGGGGACCUUCGGGCCUUGCGCUGAUGGAUGAGCUCGCGUCGGAUUAGCUUGUUGGUGAGGUAAAGGCUCACCAAGGCGACGAUCCGUAGCUGGUCUGAGAGGAUGAUCAGCCACACCGGGACUGAGACACGGCCCGGACUCCUACGGGAGGCAGCAGUGGGGAAUCUUGGACAAUGGGGGCAACCCUGAUCCAGCCAUGCCGCGUGUGUGAAGAAGGCCUUCGGGUUGUAAAGCACUUUCAGCAGGGAGGAAGGCUUACCCCUAAUACGGGUGAGUACUUGACGUUACCUGCAGAAGAAGCACCGGCUAAUUUCGUGCCAGCAGCCGCGGUAAUACGAAAGGUGCAAGCGUUAAUCGGAAUUACUGGGCGUAAAGCGCGCGUAGGCGGUGUGUUAAGUCGGAUGUGAAAGCCCAGGGCUCAACCUUGGAAUUGCAUCCGAUACUGGCACGCUAGAGUGCAGUAGAGGGAGGUGGAAUUUCCGGUGUAGCGGUGAAAUGCGUAGAGAUCGGAAGGAACACCAGUGGCGAAAGCGGCCUCCUGGACUGACACUGACGCUGAGGUGCGAAAGCGUGGGGAGCAAACAGGGAUUA
rnacentral:rRNA from 1 species